rnacentral:tRNA from 1 species
UCCAUGUGGUCGAGGCCUUCCGCGAUUCGGGCAACCGUCCCGAGUGGAUGAUCCUGGAGGUUAUUCCGGUGCUGCCGCCGGACCUGCGUCC